GAAUUGAUAGCUCAGCAGGAAGAGCGCUUACCUUACAGGCAAGAGGUCGCUGGUUCGAUUCCAGCUCAAUUCA
rnacentral:tRNA from 1 species